CAGUCGCCGCGGUAAUGCGUAGGGUGCAAGCGUUAAUCGGAAUUACUGGGCGUAAAGCGUGCGCAGGCGGUUAGAUAAGCCAGAUGUGAAAUCCCCGAGCUCAACUUGGGAACUGCGUUUGGAACUGUUUAACUAGAGUGCGUCAGAGGGGGGUGGAAUUCCGCGUGUAGCAGUGAAAUGCGUAGAGAUGCGGAGGAACACCGAUGGCGAAGGCAGCCCCCUGGGAUGACACUGACGCUGAGGAGCGAAAGCGUGGGGAGCGAACAGGAUUAGAUACCCGCGUAGUCCCUGUCUCUUAUAC
rnacentral:rRNA from 1 species